UACGAAGGGGGCUAGCGUUGCUCGGAAUUACUGGGCGUAAAGCGCACGUAGGCGGUCUUUUAAGUCGGGGGUGAAAUCCUGGAGCUCAACUCCAGAACUGCCUCGAUACUGGAAGACUCGAGUCCGGGAGAGGUGAGUGGAACUGCGAGUGUAGAGGUGAAAUUCGUAGAUAUCGCAAGAACACCAGUGGCGAAGGCGGACUCACUGGCCCGGUACUGACGCUGAGGUGCGAAAGCG
rnacentral:rRNA from 1 species